rnacentral:rRNA from 1 species
UACAGAGGGUGCGAGCGUUGUUCGGAAUUAUUGGGCGUAAAGGGCGCGUAGGCGGCGCCACAAGUCGACUGUGAAAUCUCCGGGCUUAACCCGGAAAGGUCAGCCGAUACUGCGGGGCUAGAGUGCAGAAGGGGCAACUGGAAUUCUCGGUGGUAGCGGUGAAAUGCGUAGAUAUCGAGAGGAACACCUGCGGCGAAGGCGGGUUGCUGGGCUGACACUGACGCUGAGGCGCGAAAGCUAGGGGAGCGAACGGG